rnacentral:rRNA from 1 species
UACGUAGGGUGCGAGCGUUGUCCGGAUUUAUUGGGCGUAAAGAGCUCGUAGGCGGUUUGUCGCGUCGGCCGUGAAAUCUCCACGCUUAACGUGGAGCGUGCGGUCGAUACGGGCGGACUUGAGUUCGGUAGGGGAGACUGGAAUUCCUGGUGUAGCGGUGAAAUGCGCAGAUAUCAGGAGGAACACCGGUGGCGAAGGCGGGGCUCUGGGCCGAUACUGACGCUGAGGAGCGAAAGCGUGGGGAGCGAACAGG